CCUACGGGAGGCAGCAGUGGGGGAUAUUGCACAAUGGGGGAAACCCUGAUGCAGCGACGCCGCGUGGGUGAAGAAGUAUUUCGGUAUGUAACGCCCUAUCAGCAGGGAAGAAAGAAGACGGUACCUGACUAAGAAGCCCCGGCUAACUACGUGCCAGCAGCCGCGGUAAUACGUAGGGGGCGAGCGUUAUCCGGAUUCACUGGGUGUAAAGGGAGCGUAGACGGCCGUGCAAGCCAGGAGUGAAAGCCCGGGGCCCAACCCCGGGACUGCUCUUGGAACUGUGCGGCUGGAGUGCGGGAGGGGCAGGCGGAAUUCCUGGUGUAGCGGUGAAAUGCGUAGAUAUCAGGAGGAACACCGGCGGCGAAGGCGGCCUGCUGGACCGCGACUGACGUUGAGGCUCGAAAGCGUGGGGAGCGAACAGGAUUAGAUACCCUUGUAGUC
rnacentral:rRNA from 1 species